UAGAGUUUGAUCCUGGCUCAAGAUGAACUUUUGCGGCGCGCCUAACACAUGCAAGUCGAACGGUUAAGCCACCUUCGGGUGGGAAUAAAGUGGCGAACGGCUGAGUAACACGUGGGCAACCUGCCCCUCGCACCGGGACAGCCUCGGGAAACCGUGGAUGAUACCGGAUACUCCGCCUCCCCCGCAUGGGGAGGGCGGGAAAGCCCAGACGGCGAGGGAUGGGCCCGCGGCCUGUUAGCUAGUUGGCGGGGCAGCGGCCCACCAAGGCGAUGAUGGGUAGCCGGGUUGAGAGACCGACCGGCCAGAUUGGGACUGAGACACGGCCCAGACUCCUACGGGAGGCAGCAGUGGGGAAUCUUGCACAAUGGGCGGAAGCCUGAUGCAGUGACGCCGCGUGCGGGACGAAGGCCUUCGGGCUGUAAACCGCUUUCAGCAGGGACGAGGCGAAAGUGACGGUACCUGCAGAAGAAGCCCCGGCUAACUACGUGCCAGCAGCCGCGGUAAUACGUAGGGGGCAAGCGUUAUCCGGAUUCAUUGGGCGUAAAGCGCGCGUAGGCGGCCAGCCUGGUCGGGAGUCAAAUCCGGGGGCUCAACCCCCGUCCGCUCCCGAUACCGGCCGGCUUGAGUCUGGCAGGGGAAGGCGGAAUUCCCGGUGUAGCGGUGGAAUGCGCAGAUAUCGGGAAGAACACCGGUGGCGAAGGCGGCCUUCUGGGCCACGACUGACGCUGAGGCGCGAAAGCUAGGGGAGCGAACAGGAUUAGAUACCCUGGUAGUCCUAGCCGUAA
rnacentral:rRNA from 1 species